CCCUACUGAGAAUCCAGACAUGUGACCUUAAUAGCGAAUAGGAUGAUGUUUAAUUUGCAAUGGCAAACAGUUUGUUGAUGCUUCUUCGGUGCAGCUUUUUUACCGAUGGUGGAACUGUCUUAAAUAACUUGCAUUGUAUAGAUUUUCUUACAAUUAAGUUGGCAGAAGAAUAAA